rnacentral:misc_RNA from 1 species
GUGUUUUCUUCUCUCAAAACAUGGCGGCCCUCAAGGUCUUCAGUGCGUGUAACAAAAACUCUGCUCGACAGACGAAGGGUUUGCUCUCUAUAGCGUCGUUUGAGCAAUCCAGAACGUUCAGCGCCUCACGCACCCACUACAAGGCCAAGUUCUUUGAUUCCGCAGUAGAUGCUACACAGGACAUUGGUGAUGGAGCCAAGCUGUUGGUGGGAGGAUUUGGCCUGUGUGGGAUCCCAGAAAACCUGAUUGCUGCCUUACUGCAGUCAAAAGUUAAAGGGCUGACAGUCGUCAGCAACAACGCAGGGGUGGAUAACUUUGGACUGGGACUCCUUCUGAGGCAGAAUCAGAUCAAGCGGAUGAUUUCGUCCUAUGUUGGAGAAAACGCUGAGUUUGAGAGGCAAUACUUGGAGGGAGAACUCGAGGUGGAACUCACUCCUCAGGGGACAUUGGCAGAAAGAAUCCGAGCCGGUGGAGCAGGUAUUCCAGCAUUCUUCACUCCAACGGGAUACGGGACCCUGAUUCAAGAGGGUGGGGCACCAGUCAAAUACAAUCCCGACAAAUCAGUAGAAAUCAUCAGCGACCCAAGGGAGGUCAGAGAAUUCAAUGGAUUUAAGUACAUCAUGGAGGAGGCAAUCACUGGUGACUUUGCCCUGGUCAAAGCUUACAAGGCAGACAAACUGGGCAACCUCAUCUUCAGGAAGACUGCCCGUAACUUCAACCCUCCGAUGUGUAAGGCGGGCCGCAUCACAAUCGCUGAGGUGGAGGAGAUUGUGGAGGUUGGGGAAAUCCCCCCGGAGGACAUCCAUGUACCUCACGUCUACGUCCAGAGGGUCAUCAAGGGGCCCAGCUACGAGAAGAGGAUUGAGAGGAUGACAACAAGAACGGAAGGUCAGAGUGACCCGGAGGCGAACGAUGCUGCCGCUGAAAUGAGGAACAGAAUCAUCAAACGAGCCGCGCUGGAGUUCCACCACGGAAUCUACGCCAAUCUUGGUAUUGGGAUGCCGAUGUUAGCCAGUAACUACAUACCUCCGGGAAUGACCGUCCAUUUACAGAGUGAGAACGGAAUCAUGGGACUCGGCCCCUACCCACUGCCCAACGAGGUGGACCCCGAUCUGAUCAAUGCUGGGAAACAAACCGUUACCAACAUCCCGGGAAGCUCUUUCUUCUCCAGCGACGAUUCCUUUGCCAUGAUCCGAGGAGGCCACAUAAAUCUCACCAUUCUUGGUGCAUUACAAGUUUCACGCUAUGGAGACCUGGCCAACUGGAUGAUUCCGGGUCGUCUGGUGAAGGGGAUGGGUGGAGCUAUGGAUCUCGUGUCCAGUCACAAAACCAAGGUCAUCGUAACCAUGGAGCACCAGGACAAGAAAGGAAAUAGCAAGAUAGUGGAUAGUUGUAAUCUGCCAUUGACUGGCAAGAACUGUGUAGACAUGAUCAUCACUGACAAAGUAAGAUUACAGAUCUGGUUAAACAGUAACUAAAGGUUGUAAAAGUACCGAUAGUUAUGGUACAAAUACUUUCAUUGGAUGUCACAGAACAAGCAUACCAAAAUGUAUUCAUCUUAUAUUGACUUCCCUUAAUAUGAAUAAUGUAUUACAGAUUUUUUAAAGUCAAUUUAUAAUGCAUUUAUUAAUCAUCAUUGAAAAUUUACAAAUCUGUUAGAAUUCAUUUUCUUCAGAAUUUUAUUUUCAUUCCUGAGCAAGUUUUCUAUGUAUAAAUAAUGAUUAAAUGAGUGACUGUGUAAUUGGAAAUGGAGUGAUAACUUUGUUGCCUACAGAUGUGGAGCAGGUUUGUGUGUCCGUUUUGAAUGUUCUCAGUCACUAACCCUCUCCCCUUUCUGUGUUAUAGUGUGUGUUUGAGGUGGACAAAGAGAAGGGACUCGUCCUAACAGAGAUUGCGGAGACGGAGGAUAUUCCAAGCAUUGUUGGAGCCACCGGCUGUGAAUUUGUGGUGGCACCCGAGGUGAAACCAAUGGGACAGAUUAAAUCAUAGAGGAAGGGAGAUAACUCACUGCUCAUAUUGUCAUGUUUGUGUGUCUGUUAUAAACUGAUCGCCUUGCAGUGGAGGAUAACACAGUGACACGUAUAGGACCAUAGUGAUGUGUCUAGACUGUGAAGGGUAUACAGUGACUAGACACUGUCAGAAACACACAUUUCAUCAGAUCUGAGACAAUCCUCUGGGAGUACUUGGAACAACUUUCUGUGAUGGGUCUUGGAACAGCCUUCCUUCCCUUGCAUUAUAACAAUGCUGUUCAGUUCACACUGAAUUCCAGAGAAAGAUCCAACACUGCCUAGCAUAGCUGAUACAACCUGAUGUCAAAUAAGUUAUGUGUAUUUACCAGUAUUUACUGGAGCAACUGUUUUUUUAUUUUAUGAAGGGAAAUCUAUUUUUCACUGCAGGGCAUUAAUGAAAAUCCAUGAAAUCAUGUAUAACAGCAUAUACAUAUCUGUUUCCAUCUUACAACCAGUAUUGUACUCUAACUUUGUAUUUACUUUUCUAUUUUGCACUCAAUGUCGUUGUGUGAAGCAGAUUUACAACACAAUUUAUAUUAAAAUAAUGUUUGAUAUUGGUAAAGUCUACAUAUUUAUUGUGUGGCUCUUGUGUUUUAUAACACUUUACAGAUAUUUAUUUUUGAAUCAUAUUUUUAUAGCCUUUAAAAGUUCCAAAUUAACGAUAAAAUUGCUGACACAUGAUAUGAAAUCAUAUCAAAUAUUUUUUUAAUCAGAUUCUAAAACAAAAAAUUUGGGUUAUAAAGAAUCAUAGUUCACAUGUGGGCGAUUGCAUGAAAUAAUUGUAUCAAAAGAAUUUUGUGGAAAAAUAUUGUUGCAAAAUACCUGUAAAACUUUAUGCAACACUUGUAGAAGACAUUGAUUUAAACCUGAAAUAUUGUUUUGUUUCUGAAUAAAAUGUGAUAGUUUU